UGUCGAAAAAGUGGGCGGGCGCUGCAGUCUUUCACAGACUUCAGUAACGGUCAAUUUGCACUGAACCGGGAAAAAGACAGCAGAGUUGUUCUUCUUCGUAAUAUAUUAACAAAACAGGAGAUGCUUAUGGACCAAAUGCGAAUUAUCUUUAAGACCCUCCAGUGUAUGCAAUCAAGUCAGGAGACAGAGAUAGGCCUAGAUCGAAAUUUGUUGCCUCUCAAAGAUCUCACUUCUCUACAGAACAUGGAGGAUAAUCUGCGGAGUACUCCUGACCUCCAUAAGCAAUUGCGGCUGUGAGACGUAACCGUCUAACAUCUGAUGCCACAGAGAAAGACAUUGAUUCCACCAUUAAAAAAUGGCUGUAUCUGGCCCCAGACAGAGAUGGUGGACGAAAAGAAAGGAUGAAGAACAAAUUGCAUAAGGACAAUAUGACUGGUUAACAGGCUUUAGGCAUGGAUGUUCAGUCCAGAGUUCAACUUGUUCAGUGACAGAAUCAUGACUGUUUCAGAGUCAUUUGAAGAGUGCUACUUGUUCCUAGCCAUAAACGUG